rnacentral:rRNA from 1 species
AGUGAACGCUGGCGGUAGGCCUAACACAUGCAAGUCGAACGGCAGCACAGUAAGAGCUUGCUCUUACGGGUGGCGAGUGGCGGACGGGUGAGGAAUACAUCGGAAUCUACUUUUUCGUGGGGGAUAACGUAGGGAAACUUACGCUAAUACCGCAUACGACCUACGGGUGAAAGCAGGGGAUCUUCGGACCUUGCGCGAUUGAAUGAGCCGAUGUCGGAUUAGCUAGUUGGCGGGGUAAAGGCCCACCAAGGCGACGAUCCUUAGCUGGUCUGAGAGGAUGAUCAGCCACACUGGAACAGAGACACGGUCCAGACUCCUACGGGAGGCAGCAGUGGGGAAUAUUGGACAAUGGGCGCAAGCCUGAUCCAGCCAUACCGCGUGGGUGAAGAAGGCCUUCGGGCUGUAAAGCCCUUUUGUUGGGAAAGAAAAGCAGCAGGUUAAUACCCCGCUGUUCUGACGGUACCCAAAGAAUAAGCACCGGCUAACUUCGUG